rnacentral:piRNA from 1 species
UGUAGCCAGUAUUGACCUACCUCGU